rnacentral:rRNA from 1 species
GACGAACGCUGGCGGCAUGCCUAAUACAUGCAAGUCGAGCGGAGUUGAUGGAAAGCUUGCUUUCCUGAUGCUUAGCGGCGGACGGGUGAGUAACACGUAGGCAACCUGCCCUCAAGCUUGGGACAACUACCGGAAACGGUAGCUAAUACCGAAUACUUGUUUUCUUCGCCUGAAGAGAACUGGAAAGACGGAGCAAUCUGUCACUUGGGGAUGGGCCUGCGGCGCAUUAGCUAGUUGGUGAGGUAACGGCUCACCAAGGCGACGAUGCGUAGCCGACCUGAGAGGGUGAUCGGCCACACUGGGACUGAGACACGGCCCAGACUCCUACGGGAGGCAGCAGUAGGGAAUCUUCCGCAAUGGGCGAAAGCCUGACGGAGCAAUGCCGCGUGAGUGAUGAAGGUUUUCGGAUCGUAAAGCUCUGUUGCCAGGGAAGAACGCUUGGGAGAGUAACUGCUCUCAAGGUGACGGUACCUGAGAAGAAAGCCCCGGCUAACUACGUGCCAGCCGCCGCAGUAA